GCCUCUGCUUUCACUCUUCUUUUUUUCCUUAAAUCUAAACCACAUCAUCUUAGAUGCCUGUGUUUUAAAAAAACUGCAUGUGCUCUCUCAUCAGAAAAUUGUGAUUACAUUCACAAAUCAAAUACAGCAAAAUCACUCAUCUUCAAGGCAGUUUUCUCAGCUUCCCUUCCUCUGUUCAGAGAAACAGCGUGGUACCAGGAGACAGCAACUCCAGUGCCUAUUCACACACACCACCAACCCACUGACAGAGCCAAUUCAACCUUGACAGCCAGCUCAGUGACUGGAAUAUUUGCACAUUGUAAUUUUUAAGUAAUGGGCUCCAACACAAAUUGGAAUAAGAAAGCUGACAACUGACAGGCAAAGGAAACAUCUGCCUCUGUUUGCAUUAAUACCUUUUAAAGUGUCCGGUUUUGUAUCUCAAGGGAGAGCAAGAAUGAGUCUCUGACCAAUGGCCACAUCAAGAAAUUAAUGGAAGACAGUCCCCAGUUUCACCAAACUACUCACAUUUCUAGAAUUGUGUGUGAGCUGCGCCCCAUAAUCCUGGAUCUUUUCACCCUCCCACAUCCCAGCCCUUGCCCACAGAAUUCAAACAAUCUCCUCUGGUUCCAAGGAUGACGAAGAACAGAGAUCUCCCAACAUUUUCCUUGCACAUCCUUCCAGAUAGAACUCUUUCCUCCAAAAGGGAUUGUUGUGAAAUGAAGAAAAAGACAAGAAAUGUGAAAUGGUCAGGGAAUAGGGGGAAUUAGAGGAAUAAAACCCCUGACUGUACUCCAGCUUAUUCCAAUAAUCAGUCUAUAUUUCCUUCAAAGUCUCCCUGUUGGAAUAAAAUGCCUGUUGAAAUAUCAUAUUUGCAAAAAUCUAAAGCAGCAACCAAUUAAAAAAAAAAUAAAAAGAAAGUAAACCCCCAGAUUUCUCACUUCAUGUAUUUAAUACGAGGUUGUUUCCUGAUGAAACCCUUAGUAAGUGGGAGUACUCAGGGAGACACUUGGAUUUACAUAAAUUUGAGACAGAAAAAAUGCUGUUAGAGUAAGUCCAUGGCGCUGCAUGGUUGGGAUUGAGUCUUCCAGCAGAAAUUACUCCAGGUUGUGCAGAGACACAGUGCUGAGUCUCAGGCAAAAUUCAUAAUUAACUUCAGAGUAUGUCCUUAAAUUAAAUCAUUGCCGUCCCCUUUGCAACAUUAGCACAAUAUUUACAGGUCAUUAACACACAAUAUGCCAACUUGAAGUUUUUAUUUUACCUUGCUUCUAAGUCCAUUUUACCAU